rnacentral:rRNA from 1 species
UACAGAGGGGGCAAGCGUUGUUCGGAAUUACUGGGCGUAAAGGGCGCGUAGGCGGCCGCCUAAGUCAGACGUGAAAUCCCUCGGCUCAACCGGGGAACUGCGUCUGAUACUGGGUGGCUUGAAUCCGGGAGAGGGAUGCGGAAUUCCAGGUGUAGCGGUGAAAUGCGUAGAUAUCUGGAGGAACACCGGUGGCGAAGGCGGCAUGCUGGGCCGUAAUUGACGCUGAGGCGCGAAAGCGAGGGGAGCAAACGGG